GUAAAAGCAGAGCCCGCCCCUCUCCACACCCAGUAAUGAAGAGAGAACAGAGAGCAGUGCAGAAAGUCCAUUUCAAACACCCUGCAGAGCUGACACUGAAAAACAGCUCAUUUUCUCUUCUGGACCCAUUCCCAGCUAUCCCAUACUUUUAAUGAGGAGGAAAGACAUUUUCGUUUGCCCUCUGGACACAGACCUUGGCCUGCUCAAUGUGAGACCCACUUGUCACGUUCCUCAAAGCUGCUAACAGGUGAGCCAUCCGUGACCUGCAGAGCCUCUAGUGCCUCCCUUCAGCCUCCUUUAAGCAUCUCCAUCAAGGCCCUGAUGAGCAGUAGCAGCACUUAGCCUGGAGCCUGUUCUUCUAGGAGGAGGAGGCAGAUGAUUCUGUUUAGGCCUCUGCCAGGAGCACUCUGCUCUGUACUACCCGCUCUAGGAUGCGAGGGUGAGUUAGGACAGAGUUAGGUUUCCUGCUGCUUUACAAAUUUCAGAUAUCGCCAAAUGUGGUGGCACAUGCUGGUGAUCCCAGCACUCCUGAGGCUGAGGCAGGAGGAUUGGCAUGAGUUUGAGACCAGUCUGGGCUACAUAUUAAGUUCAAGGCCAG
ensembl:lncRNA